UAUACUUUUGGUAGCGAGUGUCACCUUUGGCGGGAGUUUCAAAAUAGGAUUUAGAUAUACAAUUAAACAAAUAUCUAAUUAAAUUGUUAGGUAGUUCAUUUUAUCCAUCUUAUGUAAUAAUAACAAUUUGUAAAACUAAAAAUAAAGAUUGUGAUAAAUGUUUGUAUAGAUGUAACCCAUAUUAUCCAAUAACAUGUAUGGUCAGCUCAUACUGGACCAUACGCGUAUACUCAUACGGUCCGACCGUACGCGUAUGGUCGGACCGUACGAGUAUACGUAUACGGUCCGGACCGUACGCGUACGGUCCAAAUACUCAUAUGGUCUGGAACAUAUAUAAAGGUAAUCUA
rnacentral:lncRNA from 1 species